rnacentral:lncRNA from 10 species
CGGACAGGACGGAAAAAUUCCUUUCAUUCCCAGGCUGCCCAGAAGUAGCUGCAAGCACUUUUAAGGAAAUCUGAAAAAGAGAAGACAAACAAAGAAACUGAGACAGAAAGUGGAAAUGAAAACUCCGGCUACAAUUCAGAUGAACAAAAGACCACAGACACCGCUUCUCUCCCUCCCAAAUCCUGUGAAUCCAGUGAUCCUGAACAAAGAAACAGUAGCUGUGGCCCUCCUCACCAGCGGGCUGAUCAACGUCCACCCAGGCCAGCAAGUCAUCCACAGGCUUCUUUUAAUCUGGCCAGUCCUGAGAAGGUCAGUAAUACAACUGUAGUAUAGCAAAGCCUUCCCCAAGCUCCACUGAGCACUUGGCUGACAAUUCAAAACACGGCGAUGGCAUCCUUCCUUUCCAUCCUAAGACUGGCCUGCAGCUUUGCCAACAUUACCUGAAGAGGAGAUGUCGGAGUCAUCAGAACUGAUACUUGACAGUGAGAGAAGGAAUCGAUUUUCCCAGAGUUCAAAGUAGAAUGUGACUUUUAAGAGGUUUCAUGGUUUUUGUGAAUUCCAUGAAGUUACUAAGUAAAAGCUGCAAAUUCAUCAUAAUUUUUCUCAACAUUCAACACUCCUACUUGUUAAUCCAACAAAUGGUAGAUAAAAGUCUGUAUUCUACCAUGCCUUUCAAAAGUUUUUAUUAUCUGAAAGCAUAUGAAGAUGAUAUUUAUGUAUAUUUAAUAUGUAGGGGUAUUAUUACAUAUUAUCAGUGAAAUACGAGUAUAAAAAUUAGGGUCAACCAGAAAUCUGCAAUUGACUGUCAAAACUGAGCUCAGUUAAAGUAAGAUUCAAUUCUAACAUGGAUGUGCACGUUCCUAAAUAUCUUAUGAUUGAAUAUUUACAUGAAGGCAUUCAUUUUUAUCUGCCCCUUUAUCAGACCUAUUUGCAUCUCCUCAAAUGAAUUAGAUGUGGCCUAUGCUUUGCAGAGGAUGGACCUCACCUACUCCGCACACCGUGAAAAAACUGGAAAUGGGCAUUGUAGUCUUUAAUUAAUAAAAACACCAAAAAUGU